UGAAUUUAGUGGCAAUGCAACGGUCACUUUUCGGCGCAUCGUCGCGGUCUUUGUGUUGCGUUAUCUCAUCGUGCGUAUUAUUUUCGUAUUACAGUAAAUCAAGGAGUGCAAAUCACUGAAAAAUUGUGUCGAGAUAUCGUACAAAUUCGUCAUCGUGAGUGCGCGAGAAAGAAAGGCGAGGGAAGGUCGAUUUUCGAGCGAAUAAAGAUACAAUUUGUCAUGCGACCGAAGUAUUCUAUCUUGCAAAGUAAAUCAACAGGAGUGCACAUCACCGAGAAAUUGUGCCGAGAUAUCAUAAAAUUCGCCGUCGCAAGUACGCGAAAAAGGAAGAUAUCGAUUUUCGAGCCAAGGAACAUACAAUUCGUUAUUUUACCGAGACUACUUCUAUCUUGCAAAGCAUAACACAUAUACUCCAAUCUGGAUUGAGAGAAGAGGCCCCGUCGGGAAGGAAAUGAGACCGAGGGAAACGUGGAGUGCAUGGAGAGAGACGCGUCGGGCGACUGGAAAAAGUGGAGAAGCUUGGCGAGGACGAGAGAUGAAGAAAGUAAGAGAGUGAGUAGGAAAGAGAGAACGAACAUUAUUAACACUAUGCAUCAUAUACCGACUUCCGAGGCCGAGGCUUUUUAUCGCUCGGAAGAUAGGUAAAUCACGGCGAAAUAUCAGAAGCUGACGACUUUUCUCGCCGCACACUUUACUCUGAUUAAACCCCGCUAUAUUCGCGGGUGCGAACAGAGAUGUUUGACUGUAAGAUUGCCUCGGGAGAGUUUCUCACUUUUGUCUGUUGCACGCUCCGGAAGUACGGCAUCAACAUCUGUAACUCCGCGAUGUGAGUGAGAAAGAGAGAGAGAGAGAGAGAGAGAGAGAGAGAGAACUCUCUCAUAAAAUUCAUUCCAACGUAGAUGUUUAUUUUAAAAAGAGUAAUAUAGAGUCGUUUUAAAUAUAUCUUUUUUA